GAGGUGUGGAAACAGCUGCUGUGCCUCCAGUCCAGUGUCCAUUUUCCUUUGAGGAGGUGGCUGUAAAUUUCACCAUGGCAGAGUGGGCCCUGCUGGAUCCAGACCAAAGAGCUCUCUACCGGGAAGUCAUGCUGGAGAACUAUGGAAACGUGACCUCUCUGG